GAGGGUGUAGCUCAAGUGGUAGAGUGAAUGCUUGACAUGCACAAGGUCCUGGGUUCAAUCCCCAGCCCCUCCU
rnacentral:tRNA from 1 species